rnacentral:rRNA from 1 species
AAAACUUUCAACAACGGAUCUCUUGGUUCUGGCAUCGAUGAAGAACGCAGCGAAAUGCGAUAAGUAGUGUGAAUUGCAGAAUUCAGUGAAUCAUCGAAUCUUUGAACGCACAUUGCGCCCUUUGGUAUUCCUUAGGGCAUGCCUGUUCGAGCGUCAUUUAAACCUUCAAGCUCUGCUUGGUGUUGGGAUGUCACGCCUCCCUCCGCGGGGGCGUGCGCCUCAAAUGUAUUGGCGGCCGGUACGUUGGCUUCGAGCGCAGCAGAAACGCGAACUCGGGGACUCUGGAUCGGCCCUCCACAAGCUAUUUUACCAUUUUGACCUCGGAUCAGGUAGG